UCUCCACACAGAGGUGGCACUAGGCCCGUAGCAGAGAAAUACCAUGAAAUGUAACCAUUAAAAAGAGAAUGCAUUCAAGCAUCAGACUUCUAGUUAGGCAUUCACUUAAGUACUGAUGUGAAAGCAUAUUCCUCAAAAGAAAGUGGCUAAAGGAUUUCUCAGGUUGACUAAUUAAUUGUUCAACCUUAAUAUUCAACUCAAGUAAACCCUUUUAAGACCUGAGCUUGAGCAAUCACAAUCAACCAUUAAACUUCUUCCAGGCUACCCUACUUCCAUUCCGAACUGUCACACAAGAAAAGACCCAUUUCUCCAAUCAGGAAAAAAAUGAAACUUAUUAGGUUUAUCAAAUUGACUGGUUCCACCUGGAAAUCUUCAAGGCAAAUAACAUAAAUAUCAGAAACCACCUGCCAAUUCAAUUUCUUUCAUGUGCAAUAUGCAUUAUUACCGACCUGAGAAAAGGACACUAGAUUUUACCCAAAUACCAUCUCUCAUUUCUUAGAUUGAAAUACCAUUACCUAUAUAACAG
rnacentral:misc_RNA from 1 species